GACGAACGCUGGCGGCGUGCUUAACACAUGCAAGUCGAACGAUGAUCUCCCGCUUUCGGGGGUGAUUAGUGGCGAACGGGUGAGUAAUACGUGAGUAACCUGCCCUUGACUCUGGGAUAAGCCUGGGAAACCGGGUCUAAUACUGGAUACUACUUCCUGCCGCAUGGUGGGGGGUGGAAAGGGUUUUACUGGUUUUGUAUGGUCUCACGGCCUAUCAGCUUGUUUGUGGAGUAAUGGCUCACCAAGGCGACGACGGGUAGCCGGACUGGGAGGGUGACCGGCCACACUGGGACUGAGACACGGCCCAGACUCCUACGGGAGGCAGCAGUGGGGAAUAUUGCAGCAUGAGCGGAAGCAUGAUGCAGCGACGCCGCGUGAGGGAUGACGACCUUAGGGUUGUAAACCUCUUGCAGCAGGGAAGAAGCCACAAGUGACGGUACCUGCAGAAAAAGCGCCGGCUAACUACGUG
rnacentral:rRNA from 1 species